AUUGAACGCUGGCGGCAGGCCUAACACAUGCAAGUCGAACGGUAACAGGAAACAGCUUGCUGUUUCGCUGACGAGUGGCGGACGGGUGAGUAAUGUCUGGGAAACUGCCUGAUGGAGGGGGAUAACUACUGGAAACGGUAGCUAAUACCGCAUAACGUCGCAAGACCAAAGAGGGGGACCUUCGGGCCUCUUGCCAUCGGAUGUGCCCAGAUGGGAUUAGCUAGUAGGUGGGGUAACGGCUCACCUAGGCGACGAUCCCUAGCUGGUCUGAGAGGAUGACCAGCCACACUGGAACUGAGACACGGUCCUGACUCCUACGGGAGGCAGCAGUGGGGAAUAUUGCACAAUGGGCGCAAGCCUGAUGCAGCCAUGCCGCAUGUAUGAAGAAGGCCUUCGGGUUGUAAAGUACUUUCAGCGGGGAGGAAGGGAGUAAAGUCAAUACCUUUGCUCAUUGACGUUACCCGCAGAAGAAGCACCGGCUAACUCCGUGCCAGCAGCCGCAGUAA
rnacentral:rRNA from 1 species